GUGGAUUGUGAGAGCUCACUAGAAUUGUUCUGGAUCGACAAUCCUUACUGAGUUAGAGUAAAAUUAUUCCGACAUUGAAAAGAGUUUCAAUGAUACGAUGAUAGAAAUCAUUGUAUGUCUCACUACCAAAUAGAAUUGAAUCUAUGAGAUCACACAACAAAGAGAUUAGGUCUGAAAUAAAUAAUUGAGCUUAUAAAGUAUCAAUUGGAU
rnacentral:lncRNA from 1 species